UCGAGUGAACUAAGUCAACUGAAGAAAUGGGCUUUAUUUCUGGUAUAUGAAUGUCCAAUCAGAAGAGAUUACGACAACUCUAAUCACAGAUCAAAGGUCGGAUACCAUGGAUAGAAAAUGCAUAUAUUUUAAAGAUAAAAUUUAAUACGCUGUGUGUAUGUACAGGCAUAGUGUAAAUCUGGCUGCUGCUUGGUGCACGAGAAGAGUCGCCAGCCCUGGCCGGAACAGCUGAUGGAAUAUGUAACGCAAUCCACAUUGGCCCACAUUCAAGCAGCAUCAUGUUACAAAUGAGUCGCAGCUCCACCCGCGCCACUCUGUUGAGGAUGCGGCACCGGAAGCUAGUCUCCACCUGGUCGCCGCUAGCAACGGCAUUCAAUGCGCCGCCGUCGAAGCGCAUCAACUUUACCCGCGAGGUUGCGGGCCUUUUCCGGAUGCCCGAGCUUUGCACUUUCGAAGGUUUCUAUUUGCUAAGGGACAAUGUGGAGAACAAAUCGCAGGAUCUCAUCGCAGAGGCGAUUUCCAGUCAAAGACAACGCAAAAUGGUCGACAUAUUCGACGAGCUCUCCGACUCCCUGUGCAAGGUAGCCGACCUGGCCGAGUUCAUACGGAUCGCGCACCCCAAGAACAAGUACAUGGAGGCGGCGGAGCAGGCCUGCAUCAGCAUUUGCUGUGUGGUGGAGAGGUGAGGUCAUGCCCAUCAAGAGAUCUAUUCCCGCUCAAAACUGUUUCACCUGCCGGAAGCGGAACGCCUUCGAGUGGUGCGUCUCAACGACUACAUCCUACAGCUGGGGCAGAAGUUCAUGAACGGAGCAGCCUUUUGCUAAAUUGUAAAUUGCAUGUAUUUUAUUGCCAUCGCUGGUUACAUGUUCUAUGGGAUAAAUAACAUGAAAAGGGUUUAAUUUGACUCUAAUGAUUAAACUAUUGGCUCUGUA